GGGUUUCGGGCGGCCAUGGCGAAUUUUCGGCAGGAUUUUACCCCAGUGAAAAAGGCUUGUAAUCCACAGUGAUCAGCUAAGAUGUUGUUUCACUGGAUUAUUUAAUUGGGCAUAUAAUUGGAUAAUUCUGGAUCAGCUGAGAUGUUAUUUCACUGGAUUAUUUAAUGGAUAGACUUAUUGGGCAUAUAUUUGGAUAUCUCUGUCCUCAACCUGGAAGAUAUGUUUUGUUCCUAACCAUCUAUAAUCCAUUCUCUAUGAAGUUCAGACUGUCUGCUCUUCCUUUGGAAAUACACAGUUAGUCAACCAACAUAGAAACACACAAACUUGAAGGAUUCUCUAGUGAGGGCUUAUGGAAAU